ensembl:lncRNA
CUACUCUCCCCUGCACUCAGACAUGUUCUGGUUUGGUCACAUGGACUUUAUAUCAUAAACCACAUGACGUACUGGCUCAGUGUAACCAGACAUCCUGCCAGUCAGAGGAGGGAUUUCACAUGUCCCAUGAUCAGUACCUGAAGGGAGAUCUCUCCCUCACCAUCACUGAUGCUGAUUACACUAAGAGGUCCUUGUACACCUGCGCCUGUAAAGGUCAAGAGCUCUGUGAUGUGAGUCUACAGAUAGAGGCCUGUAAUUCUUCAGUUCAGAUUAAGCCUGGUGAACCUCUGGUGCUGGAUUUGCUCAUAUCAGAGUCAGUUGAGGUGAUUUAUAACAGCACAGGUGCAGCUGCUCCCUCUAGUGGACAGAUCUGCACAGUGGCUGGACACUCACUGAAGUGUAAACCUGAAUACACUCGGAGAGUGUCGCUCAUCUCUGCUGUGGAGCUGAGAGGAACCGCACCAUCUGAUAGUGGAGUUUACAGCAUCAGAGACACUAAGAAUGAAGAGAUUAUUCAGACAUACACAGUUACUGUGGAAGGUAAGUGUGGUUACUGUGAUUUUAAUGUUGCCUA